CCGGAGAAUGAGAUAAGAGUGCGGGAACCCAAACAAGUCGACGCGGGACAGGUAGCGAGAGUCGAAACCCGUAAGGGGAAAGCGUGGGCUCGAAGCAACGGAAACUUAACAACAAUGGCUUCCAUUAACAUACUCUCAGCCAUUUCGCAUCGUUCACCUGAAUUGCCUGCAGGUGUCCGAACCUCUCAGAAUCUAAUAAGCUAUUACCCCCGCCGGCGGCCCCGCUCAGUCCUGUGCGCCGGCAGUCCCUCGGGAACUCCGAUCGAGAAGCCUGAGAUCGAGCUCGAAUUCAUUGGGCCGAAGCCGGGAAGUGAUGGAUCGUAUCCUGUAGACAAAGCUAAGGCAAUUAGUGGAGAGAAGCUGCUGAGGAACAUCAUGCUGGAUAACAAGAUCGAGCUUUAUGCCACGUAUGGGAAGGUGAUGAACUGUGGGGGAGGUGGUAGCUGCGGAACAUGCAUAGUAGAGAUUAUUGAUGGAACGGAUCUUUUAAAUGAAAGAACAAAUACUGAACUUCGGUAUUUUAAAAAGAAACCCGAAUCCUGGAGGCUGGCUUGUCAAACAAUUGUUGGAAACAAAGAGAAUUCCGGCAAGGUUGUUGUUCAAAGGAUUCCACAGUGGAAGAAGUAACAAGCCAGGGCAAGCCAGAAAAAACCAAGCUGCACCUUGUGAUGCUUAGCCUCGAAGCACCAUAUGUUUAAUUGAGUAGGUUAUUUGAGUUGGAGGCGACAUGGAAAUAUUUUUGUGAGCGCUCGCCUGAAGCAUCACCCCAGGACAGUAUUGAUGAGCAGUGAGGAGAAUUAGAGAUUAUAUGUUCAGACCAGACGUUUGGUUCAACUGGACUGGAGCAUUGGCUCGGAUCUUGAUUUUGAUGCGUAUAGCUGAGCUGCAGAAACUUUCACUGAGCCCCUUUGCAAAUUCGUCUUUCCAACCACUGACCUGUAGUCAUGGUUAAUAAUAGUAAAUUUGAAGGUCCCAUGUGCAUCCACCGCACGCUGAUAUCCUUUUUCACGAGCAAUGCUGAUGGCCCGCUGGAGCGCUGAAUGCCUGAAAGAGUUGUGUCCGGUAUAGUCAAUGUUUGCUUUUAUCUUUUAUAUCUAGAAAAGUAAUGAAGCGGUGCGACAGUAAAUUGGAGCCUCUGGCGCCUAUGGUAGGUAUUCUGCAUCUCAAUUCUUGGCCAAGCAAGCAGCAAUUGUUGAAAAAAAGCUCAAUGAAUAAUCUAUACCCCUAUUAGUCAUUACUUGCUGUUUCAGAAAUUUCAAAUUCACUGAGAUGUUACUUUCUCUGUAUGGGGCUGGAAAGAUAAGUCUGAGAAGUUGCUUUUACUCCAAAAAGAAGGAGCAGAAGGGUUGCUUUCAAAUCUCGCCCACUUUUUUUCUUUGAUAUAGAGAGCGUUUUGGAGCUUUUCUUUGGCCUUUUCUCUUGAAGCAAAGAAGCCACCUAUCCUGGGCUUUUGUAGGGUUUUGCACCCGCGCUUCGUCUGAGAUUCCUGGAGAGCUAGAUUGCCAAGUCAGAAAUGGUUUUAUUAUGGUGGGAUCUCUGGGCCAACUUUGAUUUUAAAAUUUUGAAAAGGUGGGAAUGAGAUAUCUUGUCAAUCAAUGAAUGCCCCCACUUAAUCCCUUCAGCUUUUAAGAUUGCACAAAUAGCGUCUCGUCCCUUUGUUAUCCAUUUCAUUAUUCUUAUUAUUAUAUACAUGGGGGAGCGGGGAAGUGAGACAAUACCAGACCACUGUGUUGGGUUCUAGUGAAGUUUCCAUUAUGGUGGCUCUGGCCCUAGUCCAUGUCUCCAUUAUGGUUCUUUGAAACAUAUUUUUUAGUUUAUGAGCACCUGUUAGUGAUUCUUAAUUAAACUAUUUGUCGCGGCCGAAGGUGCUGAACCUCGUGGAUUUUGUUGGGACCCUUGCAAGUUGUGGGCACAGAAUUAUAGGUGGAUUCCAUUUCUUCGGUUUUCAAGUCGUCAGCCUCAUUCAUUCAAUACCAUUGCCUGUGGUGGUUACAUUUAUCAAUAGCUUUAGUGGGCCAAUCUCCUAGGGUUGGACCCCAAGUGUAGUUUAGUGUACCAACCCUCUUUCACUACGUUUCUCCAGUAGCAAGAUGCUACAUCGUCAUCGUGAGCAUUUGAAUUAUGAACAUCAAUUAAAACCUUAAAAUUAUAGUUUAUUUUGUUCUAAUAGUCGGUGAGUGAAACUAAAAUUACAAAUCCAAGGAUCUCUUCUAGAUGAUCUUAUUGGUUAUUAAUAUAUUGCUUGUAGCGGGUCAUGUUAAUCAAUUCAAAAUUCAUAUAUCUUUCUUUUGUACUUUUUUCCACUCAUUAGUCAAUCAUAUUGUUAUUUUUAUAAAAUAAAAUUUGAACUUUUGUUGUUAAAUUUGAAUCUUUUCCCUAGAUCUGCUGCCCGGUUUACUAAGAGGUAAAAGUUCUUGGUGAUUUGACCUUUUCUUGUGAGGUGUCGGGAUCAUUAUUAUUAUUACAGUGAGAAUUCUGAUUGAAUAU